rnacentral:rRNA from 1 species
UGGGGAAUUUUGGACAAUGGGCGAAAGCCUGAUCCAGCAAUGCCGCGUGUGUGAAGAAGGCCUUCGGGUUGUAAAGCACUUUUGUCCGGAAAGAAAUCCUUGGCUCUAAUACAGUCGGGGGAUGACGGUACCGGAAGAAUAAGCACCGGCUAACUACGUGCCAGCAGCCGCGGUAAUACGUAGGGUGCAAGCGUUAAUCGGAAUUACUGGGCGUAAAGCGUGCGCAGGCGGUUUGCUAAGACCGAUGUGAAAUCCCCGGGCUCAACCUGGGAACUGCAUUGGUGACUGGCAGGCUAGAGUAUGGCAGAGGGGGGUAGAAUUCCACGUGUAGCAGUGAAAUGCGUAGAGAUGUGGAGGAAUACCGAUGGCGAAGGCAGCCCCCUGGGCCAAUACUGACGCUCAUGCACGAAAGCGUGGGGAGCAAACAGGAUUAGAUACCCCUGGUAGUCCACGCCCUAAAACGAUGUCAACUAGUUGUUGGGGAUUCAUUUCCUUAGUAACGUAGCUAACGCGUGAAGUUGACCGCCUGGGGAGUACGGUCGCAAGAUUAAAACUUAAAGGAAUUGAC